rnacentral:rRNA from 1 species
GCCUGCGAGUCACGUAUGAAUAAUACGUGGCGAACGGCUCAGUAACACGUAGUCAACAUGCCCAAAGGACGUGGAUAACCUCGGGAAACUGAGGAUAAACCGCGAUAGGUCAUAAGUACUGGAAUGUUUUAUGGCUCAAAUCUACAUGGCCUCUGGAUUGGACUGCGGCCGAUCAGGCUGUUGGUGAGGUAAUGGCCCACCAAACCUGUUACCGGUACGGGCUCUGAGAGGAGGAGCCCGGAGAUGGGCACUGAGACAAGGGCCCAGGCCCUAUGGGGCGCAGCAGGCGCGAAACCUCCGCAAUAGGCGAAAGCUUGACAGGGUUACUCUGAGUGAUUCCCGCUAAGGGAAUCUUUUGGCAUCUCUAAAAACGAUGCAGAAUAAGGGGUGGGCAAGUCUGGUGUCAGCCGCCGCGGUAAUACCAGCACCCCGAGUGGUCGGGACGAUUAUUGGGCCUAAAGCAUCCGUAGCCGGUUCUACAAGUCUUCCGUUAAAUCCACCUGCUUAACAGAUGGGCUGCAGAGGAUACUAUAGAGCUAGGAGGCGGGAGAGGCAAGCGGUACUCAGUGGGUAGGGGUAAAAUCCGUUGAUCCAUUGAAGACCACCAGUGGCGAAGGCGGCUUGCCAGAACGCGCUCGACGGUGAGGGAUGAAAGCUGGGGGAGCAAACCGGAUUAGAUACCCGGGUAGUCCCAGCUGUAAACGAUGCAGACUCGGUGAUGAAUAGGCUUCGUGCCUAUUCAGUGCCGCAGGGAAAGCCGUUAAGUCUGCCGCCUGGGGAGUACGGUCGCAGACUGAAACUUAA